UGCAGUCGACGGUAGCACAGAGAGCUUGCUCUCGGGUGACGAGUGGCGGACGCGGUGAGUAAUGUCUGGGAAACUGCCUGAUGGAGGGGGAUAACUACUGGAAACGGUAGCUAAUACCGCAUAACGUCGCAAGACCAAAGAGGGGGACCUUCGGGCCUCUUGCCAUCAGAUGUGCCCAGAUGGGAUUAGCUAGUAGGUGGGGUAACGGCUCACCUAGGCGACGAUCCCUAGCUGGUCUGAGAGGAUGACCAGCCACACUGGAACUGAGACACGGUCCAGACUCCUACGGGAGGCAGCAGUGGGGAAUAUUGCACAAUGGGCGCAAGCCUGAUGCAGCCAUGCCGCGUGUAUGAAGAAGGCCUUCGGGUUGUAAAGUACUUUCAGCGGGGAGGAAGGUGUUGUGGUUAAUAACCGCAGCAAUUGACGUUACCCGCAGAAGAAGCACCGGCUAACUCCGUGCCAGCAGCCGCGGUAAUACGGAGGGUGCAAGCGUUAAUCGGAAUUACUGGGCGUAAAGCGCACGCAGGCGGUCUGUCAAGUCGGAUGUGAAAUCCCCGGGCUCAACCUGGGAACUGCAUUCGAAACUGGCAGGCUAGAGUCUUGUAGAGGGGGGUAGAAUUCCAGUGUAGCGGUGAAAUGCGUAGAGAUCUGGAGGAAUACCGGUGGCGAAAGCGGCCCCCUGGGACAAAGACUGACGCUCAGUGCGAAAGCGUGGGGAGCAACAGGAUUAGAUACCCUGGUAGUCCACGCCGUAACGAUGUCGACUUGGAGUUGUGCCCCUUGAGCGUGCUUCCGAGCUAACGCGUUAAGUC
rnacentral:rRNA from 1 species